rnacentral:rRNA from 1 species
UACAGAGACUGCAAGCGUUAUUCGGAUUCACUGGGCGUAAAGGGUGCGCAGGCGGCCGUGUGUGUGAGGCGUGAAAGCCCGGGGCUUAACCCCGGAAUUGCACCGCAAACUACAUGGCUAGAGCAUUGGAGAGGGUAGCGGAAUUCACGGUGUAGCAGUGAAAUGCGUAGAUAUCGUGAGGAACACCAGAGGCGAAGGCGGCUACCUGGACAAUUGCUGACGCUCAGGCACGAAAGCGUGGGGAGCAAAAGGG